rnacentral:ribozyme from 1 species
CUGAAAAGAAGAAAAAGAAGAGAGAAGAGAGAGAAAUGAGUAUAUGAUAUUCUGUUUUUUUUUGUCAUUUU